rnacentral:rRNA from 1 species
GUGUAUUAAAUAUUUAGUCUGGCCUGCCCACUGAUAUUUUAAAGGGCUGCGGUAUUUUGACCGUGCAAAGGUAGCAUAAUCAAUAGUCUUUUAAUUGGAGGCUUGGAUGAAAGGUUUGACGGAGAGAAGACUGUCUCUUUAAUUUUUAUUGAAUUUAACAUUUGUGUGAAAAGGCAUAAAUAGUUUAGUGGGACGAUAAGACCCUAUAAAAUUUGACAUGUUAUUUUGUUUAUUAGAAUUGAUUAUUAAUUGUUAUUUAGAAGUGUGUGUUUUGCUGGGGCGGCAUGAAUAUAAUUGCUUAACUGUUCAUUGUAUGAAACAUUAGUAUGUGGAGUUUGGUCCUUUGUUGGAGAGGAAAGAGUAAGUUACUUUAGGGAUAACAGCAUAAUUUUUCUUGAGAGUUCAUAUCGAAGGAAUAAGUUGUGACCUCGAUGUUGAAUUAAAUUUUUUCUUGGGUGUAGGAGUUUGAGAGGAGGGUCUGUUCGACCUAUAAAUAUUUACA